UCUUGGUCAUUUAGAGGAAGUAAAAGUCGUAACAAGGUCUCCGUAGGUGAACCUGCGGAGGGAUCAUUACACAAAAAAUAUGAAGGCUGUACGCGACUGUGCCUCUCGGGGCCAGCUUUGCGGAGGCUGAAAUAUUUUUCACCCAUGUCUUUUGCGCACUUGUUGUUUCCUGGGCGGGUUUCGCCCGCCACCAGGACCACACCAUAAACCUUUUUUCUAUGCAGUUGCAAUCAGCGUCGGUAUAACAAAUGUAAAUCAUUUACAACUUUCAACAACGGAUCUCUUGGUUCUGGCAUCGAUGAAGAACGCAGCGAAAUGCGAUAAGUAGUGUGAAUUGCAGAAUUCAGUGAAUCAUCGAAUCUUUGAACGCACAUUGCGCCCUUUGGUAUUCCAAAGGGCAUGCCUGUUCGAGCGUCAUUUGUACCUUCAAGCUUUGCUUGGUGUUGGGCGUCUUUUUUGUCUUGGGCCUUUGUGCCCUGAGACUCGCCUUAAAACGAUUGGCAGCCGGCCUACUGGUUUCGGAGCGCAGCACAUUUUUGCGCUUGCAAUCAGCAAAAGAGGCCAGCCAUCCAUCAAGACCUUUCUUCUCACUUUUGACCUCGGAUCAGGUAGGGAUACCCGUUGUCUUAAGCAUAUCAAUAAGCGGAGGA
rnacentral:rRNA from 1 species